UACGUAGGGCGCAAGCGUUGUCCGGAAUUAUUGGGCGUAAAGAGCUCGUAGGCGGUCUGUCACGUCUGCCGUGAAAACCCGAGGCUUAACCUCGUGGCUUGCGGUGGAUACGGGCAGACUAGAGGUAGGUAGGGGAGAACGGAAUUCCCGGUGUAGCGGUGAAAUGCGCAGAUAUCGGGAGGAACACCGGUGGCGAAGGCGGUUCUCUGGGCCUUACCUGACGCUGAGGAGCGAAAGCAUGGGGAGCGAAACAGGG
rnacentral:rRNA from 1 species